CACUCUCCCAGCAAUACACAAGGGUUCCGUUUUCUCCACAUCGUGGCCAGUGCUUCUCAUUCCUUGUCUUUUUGAUGAUGGCCAUCCUAACGGGCGUGAGGUGAUAUCUUGUGGUUUUGCUUUGCGUUUCCCUAAUGACCAGUAAAACUGAGCAUGUUUCAUAUACUUAUUGGCCAUUCGUAGAUCUUCUUUGGAAAAAUGUCGUAGCAUUUGUUUCCAUCUUCACGUGCACCGCGAGUUUCUUCUAUUUUACUGCUGACUGGUACCCACUUUAUGAAUACACCACAAUUUAGUUAUGAGUCCUACCGCUGAUGGGCAUUUAGGUUACUUCCAGUCUGGAGCUAUGGAAAACCAAGACUACAAUCAAGGUACUGAAGUAUCCAUCACCACCAAACCUUUCCUGAUGCCCCUUUGUGAUUCCUCCCAAUUGCACCAUUGGCCCUUCUCCUGAAACCCACAAAUAAAAACCCACAGAUCGGUU